GGAUGUAUGAGAUGUAUGAGAGGUAUGAGAGGUACUGGAGGUACGGGAGGUAUUAGAUGUACUGGAGGUAGAGGUAUUGGAGGUAUGAGAGGUAUUAGAGGUAGAGGUAUUAGAGGCAUGACAGGUGUAUGAGAGGUACUAGAGUUAUGAGAGGUAUUAGAGGUAUUGGAGGUAGGAGAGGUAUUACGGAUAGAUGUAUUAGAGGUAGAGGUAUUAAAUAUAUUAGAGGUAUGAGAGAUAGAGGUAUUGGAUGUAUGAGAGGUAUUGGAGGUAUGAGAGGUAUUAGAUAUAGAUGUAUUAGAGGUAGAGGUAUUAAAGAUAUUAGAGGUAUGAGAGGCAGAGGUAUUGGAUGUAUGAGACGUAUUGAACGUAUGAGAGGUAUCGGAGGUAGAUGUAUUGGAGGUAUGAGCGGUAUGAAAGCGAUUAGAGGUAGAGGUAUUGGAGAUAUGAGCGGUAUUAGAGGUAGAUGUAUUAGAGGUAGAAGUAUUAGAGGUAUAGGUAUUAGAGAUAUGAGCGGUAUUAGAGGUAGAGGUAUUAGAGGUAUGAGAGGUAGAUGUAUUAGAGGUAGAUGUAUUCAAGAUAUUGAAUGUAUGAGAGGUGGAUGUAUUAGAGGUAUGAGAGGUAUGAGAGAUAUUAGAGGUAAGAUAAGUAUUAGAGGUAUGAGAGGUAUUAGAUGUAGAGGUAUUGGAGGUAACGUUAUUAGAGGUAUGAGAUGUAUGAGAGGAAUUAUGAGUAUGAGAGAUGUUAGAGGUAGAGGUAUGAGAGGUAGAGGUAUGAGAGGUAUUGGAGGCAGGUGUAUUAGAAGCAUCAGAGGUAGAUGUAUUAGAGGUAGCGGUAUUAGAGGUAUGAGAGGUAUGAUAGGUAGGGGUAUGAGAGGUAUUAAAGAUAUUGGAGGUAUGAGAGGUAUUGGAGGCAGGUGUAUUAGAGGCAUUAGAGGUAAAUGUAUUAGAGGUAGAGGUAUGAGAGGUAUUAGAGGUAGUGGAGAUAUGAGAGGUAUUAGAGGUAUGAGAGGUAUUAGAGGUAUGAGAGGUAUUAGAGGUAUGAGAGGUAUUGGAGGUAGAUGUAUUCAGGGUAGAGGUAUUAAAGAUAUUGGAGGAAUGAGAGGUAUGGGAGGUAGAGGUAUGGGAGGUAUUAGAGGUAUUAGAGGUUUUAGAGAUAUGUGAGGUAUGAGAUGAGAUGUAUAUGAGAUGUAUAUGAGGAAUUGGAGGUAUUAGAGGUAGAUGUAUUCGAGGUAGAGGUAUUAAAGAUAUUGGAUGAAUGAGAGGUAUUGGAAGUAGAGGUUUUAGAGGUUUGAGAGGUAUUAGAGGUAGAUGUAUUAGAGUAGAAGUAUUAAAGAUAUUGGAAGCAUGAGAGGUAGAGGUAUUGGAGGUAUUAGCGGUAUUGGAGAUAUGAAAGGUAAAGUUAUUGGAGGUAUUGGAGAUAUGAGAGGUAUGAGAGGUAUUUGAGGUAGGGGCAGAGAGGUAGAGGUAUGAGAGGUAUGAGAGGUUUGGGAGAAGGAGGUAUUAGACGUAUGACAGGUAUUGAGGCAAAUGUAUGAGGUAGAGGUAUUAAAGGUGGCGGUAUGAGAGGUAUUGGAGGUAUGAGAAGUAUUAGAGGUAUUGUAGGUAUUACAGGUAGAGGAGGUAGAGGUAUGAGAGAUAUUGGAGGCAGGUGUAUUAGAGGUAUUAGAAGUAAAAGAGGUAUUAGAGGUAGAUGUAUUAGAGGUAAAGGUAUUAGAGGUAUUAGUGGUAUGAGAGGUAGAGGUAUUAGAAGUAGAGGUAUGAUAGGUAGAGGUAUCAAAAAUAUUGGAGGUAUGAGAGGUAGAGAGGUAUGAGAGGUAUUAGAGCUAUUGGAGAUAUGAGAAGUAUGAGAGGUAGAGGUAUUAGAGUUAGAGAAAUGACAGGUUAUUGGAGGCAGAGGUAUUAGAGGUAUGAUAUGUAUUAGAGGUAGAAGUAAUUGAGGUAUGAGAUGUAUUAGAGGUAUUGGAGGUAGAGGUAUGAGAGGUGUGAGAGGUAGAGAUAUUAAAGGUAGAGGUAUGAGAGGUAUUAGAGGCAGAGGUAUUAGAGGUAUGAGAGGUUUGAAAGGUAUGAGAGGUAUGAAAGGUAUUGGAGGUUUGAAAGGUAUGAGAGGUAUUGGAGGUAUUACAGUUAUUAG
rnacentral:lncRNA from 1 species